rnacentral:rRNA from 1 species
GACGAACGCUGGCGGCGUGCUUAACACAUGCAAGCCGAACGGUAAGGCCCUUCGGGGUACACGAGUGGCGAACGGGUGAGUAACACGUGGGUGAUCUGCCCUGCACUUCGGGAUAAGCCUGGGAAACUGGGUCUAAUACCGGAUAGGACCACUGCCUGCAUGGGUGGUGGUGGAAAGCUUUUGCGGUGUGGGAUGGGCCCGCGGCCUAUCAGCUUGUUGGUGGGGUGAUGGCCUACCAAGGCGACGACGGGUAGCCGGCCUGAGAGGGUGACCGGCCACACUGGGACCGAGAUACGGCCCAGACUCCUACGGGAGGCAGCAGUGGGGAAUAUUGCACAAUGGGCGCAAGCCUGAUGCAGCGACGCCGCGUGAGGGAUGACGGCCUUCGGGUUGUAAACCUCUUUCAGCACCGACGAAGCGCAAGUGACGGUAGGUGCAGAAGAAGGACCGGCCAACUACGUGCCAGCCGCCGCGGUAAGAC